AGAGUUUGAUCCUGGCUCAGGAUAAACGCUGGCGGCGUGCCUAACACAUGCAAGUCGAACGCCCUACGCAAGUAGGGAGUGGCGGACGGGUGAGGAACACGUGGGUCAUCUACCCUUAGGUGAGGAAUACCGGCGAGAAAUCGCCGACAAUACCGCAUACGCUCGGUCACGAGCAAAGCCCGCAAGGGCGCCUGAGGAUG
rnacentral:rRNA from 1 species